rnacentral:rRNA from 1 species
GACGAGCGCUGGCGGCGUGCUUAACACAUGCAAGUCGAACGGUGAAGCGAGUGCUUGCACUCGUGGAUCAGUGGCGAACGGGUGAGUAACACGUGAGUAACCUGCCCAUCACUCUGGGAUAAGCACUGGAAACGGUGUCUAAUACUGGAUACGACCAACCCUUGCAUGGGGUGUUGGUGGAAAGAUUUAUCGGUGAUGGAUGGACUCGCGGCCUAUCAGCUUGUUGGCGGGGUAAUGGCCCACCAAGGCGACGACGGGUAGCCGGCCUGAGAGGGUGACCGGCCACACUGGGACUGAGACACGGCCCAGACUCCUACGGGAGGCAGCAGUGGGGAAUAUUGCACAAUGGGCGAAAGCCUGAUGCAGCGACGCCGCGUGAGGGAUGACGGCCUUCGGGUUGUAAACCUCUUUCAGCAGGGAAGAAGCGAAAGUGACGGUACCUGCAGAAGAAGCACCGGCUAACUACGUG